rnacentral:rRNA from 1 species
GCGGGCGGGGCGGGGGCACGGGGGGCCUACGGGAGGCAGCAGUGGGGAAUAUUGGACAAUGGGCGCAAGCCUGAUCCAGCAACGCCGCGUGGAGGACGAAGGUCUUCGGAUCGUAAACUCCUGUCAGGCGGGACGAAGGCUUCCGGGCAAAUAGUCCGGAAGCUUGACGGUACUGCCAGAGGAAGCCCCGGCAA